rnacentral:rRNA from 1 species
UGGGGAAUAUUGGACAAUGGGGGCAACCCUGAUCCAGCCAUGCCGCGUGAGUGAUGAAGGCCCUAGGGUUGUAAAGCUCUUUCGGCGGGGACGAUAAUGACGGUACCCGCCGAAGAAGCCCCGGCUCACUUCGUGCCAGCAGCCGCGGUAAUACGCAGGGGGCUAGCGUUGCUCGGAAUCACUGGGCGUAAAGCGCACGUAGGCGGAUCUUUAAGUCAGGGGUGAAAUCCCAAGGCUCAACCUUGGAACUGCCUUUGAUACUGGGGAUCUCGAGUCCGGAAGAGGGUGGGGGAACUCCGAGUGGAGAGGUGAAAUGCGUAGAUAUUCGGAAGAACACCAGUGGCGAAGGCGGCCAACUGGUCCGGCACUGACGCUGAGGUGCGAAAGCGUGGGGAGCAAACA